rnacentral:rRNA from 1 species
GACGAACGCUGGCGGCGUGCUUAACACAUGCAAGUCGAACGAGAAUCUACUGACAGAGUUUUCGGACACUGGAAGUAGAGGAAAGUGGCGGACGGGUGAGUAACGCGUGAGGAACCUGCCUUGAAGAGGGGGACAACAGUUGGAAACGACUGCUAAUACCGCAUGAAGCAUAGGGGUCGCAUGAUUCUUAUGCCAAAGAUUUAUCGCUUCAAGAUGGCCUCGCGUCUGAUUAGCUGGUUGGCGGGGUAACGGCCCACCAAGGCGACGAUCAGUAGCCGGACUGAGAGGUUGAACGGCCACAUUGGGACUGAGAUACGGCCCAGACUCCUACGGGAGGCAGCAGUGGGGAAUAUUGGGCAAUGGGCGCAAGCCUGACCCAGCAACGCCGCGUGAAGGAAGAAGGCUUUCGGGUUGUAAACUUCUUUUAAGAGGGAAGAGCAGAAGACGGUACCUCUAGAAUAAGCCACGGCUAACUACGUG